CGAGCGAAGAAACUGUCUUGGUAAUCAGCAGAUUAAGACCUAAAUUCUAAAAUUUGUAUACGAAAGAAAUAGAUGGAGUAUCCUGAUUAAGAUGAUACAACCAUUAAACUUCAGUAGGACUUUAUUUUCAGUGUGCUUACUGUUUGUACAAAAUACAUGUCACCAGAUCAAGAUAUUACAAACAUAUAAACUGCAGCAUAAUUUCUGCAAAUUUAGUAGGAAUACAUUAUUUGACAUAGGUUUAAAGAUCGAAUGGCUAAACUCCAGAUGGGCUUCUAAAUUAAAGGAAUAAUGGUGGAAGCUUCAAAGCAGAAUAGUCUGCAUGCUUUGUCAAUAUAAUUUAUUGCAAGUGGUGUAUCUGACAUUUAUACGAGUCCAAGUGUAUAACAGCUCGUCUUUUCUCUAGACGAUAUUAUUAUUUUUUCAAGUGAUAUUAUACAACCAUAACGUAUGUACAAAUCAUCUUUUUCCACAAGAGUGACUGCCCUGCAAAACUAACAAACAUGAUCUCAGAGCUAGCAUAAAUCCUAUGUCAACACCUAGAGUUAUUGGGAACCGGUAACAUAAACCAAUUCUCACAUUAGCAGUUAUGAGAUGGUAAUGCAUUAGAUAAAUAAAAAUACACGUUCAUUCAAAUCCACAGUUUGAAUAAGCAUAAACUCCAGAUACCAUAAGGAUUCUCCUUUGGCCUUUCUAAGUUGAAAAGCUAACUUUCCAGUAAAAUAGCCACUUGUGUGGUCUUUGCUUCAUCAAAAGCUUAAGACCAAUGACCUGUUACGAUUGAAAGGCUGUUAAAACUUAUAAGUAAAAUUUGGUGCAUAAUUUGCAAAAAGAACAAGGACACCCCUUCCCAUUUGUUUCACAAUAUUCUUUUGCAAGAAGAUAGUCACAAAGAAGGAUUAACGCAAAGAUAUUGUGGCUAUUUGAUGAAUAUUAUCUGCUUCCACAUCCAGAAAGAACCCAUGUCAAAAGAGGAAUUGAUUGCCUCCAUCAGGGUAUUAUUGAUUCACAACAAUUUUUGCAUUCAAAGAAACGUAGAACCUUGGAAGUACUAUACCUAGUUUUGUGGUCACUCCAUGAGUAUCUCCUCCCUUAUCAAGAUCUGAUGUGCAUAGGAGUCUCCUGCUCCUACCCUACCAAAAGAUCAGCAGCUUGGUUGGUCGAUCUCCUCACAAAUAUCUAACAUCAAUCUGCCCAAUACAAUCUCAAGACUCUCCCUACCAUUGACUUUCUCCAUUCUUAUGAUUAUUGCUAACUCAUCUUUUAAAGCAUUAAUAUUGGGGUCUGGACUCUCUUCAAAAGCCUAAGAGAUAGUUUGGUACGAAGAAUCAGGAUAAUAAUUCUGGGAUAGAAUUUGAGAUUGUAUUUAUCUUAUGUUUAGUUAUAGGUAUUAGCUAAUCCCGAUAUAAAUUUUACUUUAAAAUGGUGAGAUUAGCUAUCUCAUAUAGAAGGUUGGAUAACCAAUCCUAUGGGAUAUCCUUGUCUAACUCACUAUUGUACCAAACGAACCCUAAAUGUCUUGAGUAUAUGCCUCCCUUUCUUUUUGUUUGUUGGAAAAAAGAAAAAGGUGCACAAUGCGUUUCUACAUUUCACAAAAAAAAAAAAUAAUAAAUACUCUAAU
rnacentral:lncRNA from 1 species